UACGUAGGGGGCGAGCGUUGUCCGGAUUCAUUGGGCGUAAAGGGUGCGUAGGCGGUUGGGUAAGUCUGAUGUGAAAGCUCGGAGCUUAACUCCGAAAUGGCAUCGGAUACUAUCCGACUAGAGGAAUGGAGGGGAGACUGGAAUACUUGGUGUAGCAGUGAAAUGCGUAGAUAUCAAGUGGAACACCAGUGGCGAAGGCGAGUCUCUGGACAUUUCCUGACGCUGAGGCACGAAAGCCAGGGGAGCAAACGGG
rnacentral:rRNA from 1 species